AAAUAUUACUUUUGAAAUAGAUAUUGUGGGUCUUGUCAUCGACUUGAAUAGGUUUUUGAAGUGGAGCAAUGAGUUUUGAGGAUUUAUAAUUUGGGAUUUCUCCGAGAUAAUAAGCAUUUACUGUCAUUUAAAAUUUGUUAUUUUUUGGUUAAAUUUCGAACAAGUAUUUUGUUGUUGGAAUUUAUGUCUGAAAUUUAAUUUGAACAUUGAGAUUGUAAUUUGAGAGUGAAUACUAUUUGUUAUACAAAUUAGUAAUGCUUUUUUGCUUAUUACUAUUUUUUAAAAUUUUAAUUCAUUGUAAUAUUUAGUUGUGGAACAGUAUUUUAAUAUGAAUUAUAAUUGCCGCUAUAAGUUUCGUUUAUCAAACAUUUAGUAUGUUUUUUUGUGGCA
rnacentral:lncRNA from 1 species